rnacentral:rRNA from 1 species
UUGAACGCUGGCGGCAGGCCUAACACAUGCAAGUCGAACGGUAACAGGAAGAAGCUUGCUUCUUUGCUGACGAGUGGCGGACGGGUGAGUAAUGUCUGGGAAACUGCCUGAUGGAGGGGGAUAACUACUGGAAACGGUAGCUAAUACCGCAUAACGUCGCAAGACCAAAGAGGGGGACCUUCGGGCCUCUUGCCAUCGGAUGUGCCCAGAUGGGAUUAGCUAGUAGGUGGGGUAACGGCUCACCUAGGCGACGAUCCCUAGCUGGUCUGAGAGGAUGACCAGCCACACUGGAACUGAGACACGGUCCAGACUCCUACGGGAGGCAGCAGUGGGGAAUAUUGCACAAUGGGCGCAAGCCUGAUGCAGCCAUGCCGCGUGUAUGAAGAAGGCCUUCGGGUUGUAAAGUACUUUCAGCGGGGAGGAAGGGAGUAAAGUUAAUACCUUUGCUCAUUGACGUUACCCGCAGAAGAAGCACCGGCUAACUCCGUGCCAGCAGCCGCGGUAAUACGGAGGGUGCAAGCGUUAAUCGGAAUUACUGGGCGUAAAGCGCACGCAGGCGGUUUGUUAAGUCAGAUGUGAAAUCCCCGGGCUCAACCUGGGAACUGCAUCUGAUACUGGCAAGCUUGAGUCUCGUAGAGGGGGGUAGAAUUCCAGGUGUAGCGGUGAAAUGCGUAGAGAUCUGGAGGAAUACCGGUGGCGAAGGCGGCCCCCUGGACGAAGACUGACGCUCAGGUGCGAAAGCGUGGGGAGCAAACAGGAUUAGAUACCCUGGUAGUCCACGCCGUAAACGAUGUCGACUUGGAGGUUGUGCCCUUGAGGCGUGGCUUCCGGAGCUAACGCGUUAAGUCGACCGCCUGGGGAGUACGGCCGCAAGGUUAAAACUCAAAUGAAUUGACGGGGGCCCGCACAAGCGGUGGAGCAUGUGGUUUAAUUCGAUGCAACGCGAAGAACCUUACCUGGUCUUGACAUCCACGGAAGUUUUCAGAGAUGAGAAUGUGCCUUCGGGAACCGUGAAACAGGUGCUGCAUGGCUGUCGUCAGCUCGUGUUGUGAAAUGUUGGGUUAAGUCCCGCAACGAGCGCAACCCUUAUCCUUUGUUGCCAGCGGUCCGGCCGGGAACUCAAAGGAGACUGCCAGUGAUAAACUGGAGGAAGGUGGGGAUGACAUCAAGUCAUCAUGGCCCUUACGACCAGGGCUACACACGUGCUACAAUGGCGCAUACAAAGAGAAGCGACCUCGCGAGAGCAAGCGGACCUCAUAAAGUGCGUCGUAGUCCGGAUUGGAGUCUGCAACUCGACUCCAUGAAGUCGGAAUCGCUAGUAAUCGUGGAUCAGAAUGCCACGGUGAAUACGUUCCCGGGCCUUGUACACACCGCCCGUCACACCAUGGGAGUGGGUUGCAAAAGAAGUAGGUAGCUUAACCUUCGGGAGGGCGCUUACCACUUUGUGAUUCAUGACUGGGGUG